CACUGGAAGUAAAACGCGAGUUUAUCGCUUCCUUACAGAGAUGGAACCAAGGACAGCAAAUGCUGACGAGGAGAAGAGACGGACGAGCGUUUGCUUGCGGUUAAUACCGAAGGGACGGGAUGAAACAAGGAAGCCAGAAUGCAGCGGCCCCUCGAUAUCACCAGGAACUGCUACAGGAGGAGGCGUUCUGGCACGGGUAACUAGGAUUAAUUGCCACGGCUGAAGUUGAAGAGACCAAGAAACGUAAGCCGCGAAGGGGCACAUCUUGAAGAGAGGGGGCUAGACCUAGCGAUCCAGUUGUUCGUUUUGGUCGUCGCCUGUGAGGCCAGCAUGCAAGAGUAAGAGGAAGCUAGGAGCAGUCUCAAAAAGAGAUGGAACCAAGGACAGCAAAUGCUGACGAGGAGAAGAGACGGACGAGCGUUUGCUUGCGGUUAAUACCGAAGGGACGGGAUGAAACAAGGAAGCCAGAAUGCAGCGGCCCCUCGAUAUCACCAGGAACUGCUACAGGAGGAGGCGUUCUGGCACGGGUAACUAGGGUAAGUAUGGCUAAUGACCGUUAGCAGUUAUUUCGGCCUCCCCGAGGCAGCGCUGAGGACUAAGUAACCUGAGGGGCUCUGGCCUGGGUUGGGGCAGAAGUGCAGGCAGGCGGGAUCAGGCAUUUUCCUCUCAGCUCUCCGAGCUGAAUCCUAGCCCUGAAGGAAAAAGCACUGGGGGGAGGCUACUCGGACACCUGCCAUGUCGAGGGCAGGGGCAGGAGCUGACCCUUCCCCGACGGACGGACGUACGGACAGACGCUGGUGCGGCGGUGACUCUUUGGAUAUCGUAGGUAAGGGGAGGCACGCUGGUGCCGAGCUCCAGGGCGGUUUGCCUGAACACGAUGCCUGAGGCAGGAGGUUAUGCAUUGUGUCCGGGGCUGGGAGCUGGUCCCCGAGUCCCAUGUACUUGGGAGUGCCUGCACUUGCCAGGGAGCCCGGUGCUGUUCCCAGAGCUGCGGGGAAUUUCCCUUGCGUUGCCUGGACCCUCGGGGCUCUUGGGGGUGUUUCCCCUCAUCGCGAGGGCUGCCAGAGCCCCUCCAGGGCUGCGUGAGGUCCCCGAACCGCUCCCGGAUUUGCUUUUGGCACUCCGCAGUGUCGCUCGUGUGCCUGGGGCAGCCUGCAGGCGCCAUCCUGUCAGCCGCGUUGAGCCCUGCGGCGUGCCUGGUGACCCCUCUGGUGUGCGCCAAGGCCCUUCCUCUGUAUUUUGGUCUGCCCCAGAGCCCUGCACUUGCCCUCUGAUGCCCUCAGGACCCCUCAGUUCACAUUCUGGGUUGCCCCCGAGCCCUCUGCGUGCCUUUCGGUGCGCCCCGUGGCCCCGUGUGUGUUUUGCGGCACGCCGCAGAGGUCUCUGUUUAGCUUUUUCUCCUGUCCUGGAGUUUUCUGGGUGCUUCUGGGUGUGCCCCAGGGCCCUCCUUUUGGUGCCCCCCGAGUCACUCUGUUUGCUCUAUCGUUGUUCUUUUUUUUUUUUUUUUUUUUUUUCUUGACUUGUGUUGCACCCAGAGCUCUCGAUUUGUUCUCUUGUGCUCCGCAUACUCCCCUUUCCGCACUCUACACCCCAGGCAGGGCUCUCCCUUCAGCUCUCAGCAAGCUGCUGUCAGGAGAGUGGG